rnacentral:misc_RNA from 1 species
GGAUGAUAGAUUUAUGAUCAAGACAGUAAAGAAAUCAGAAGUCAAGGUGCUAAUUAGGAUGCUUCCCAGUUAUUACCAGCAUGUUUGUCGGUAUGAAAAUUCACUGGUAACAAAAUUCUUUGGUGUGCAUUGUGUUAAACCAAUUGGCGGGCAAAAGACCCGUUUCAUUGUGAUGGGCAAUUUGUUCUGCUCUGAGUAUAGAAUACAUAGGAGAUUUGACCUAAAAGGAUCCUCCCAUGGCCGAACAACAGAUAAGCCUGAGGGUGAGAUUGAUGAAACCACAACUCUCAAGGACCUGGAUCUCAAUUUUGUGUUUCGUCUUCAACGAAAUUGGUACCAAGAGCUUAUCAAGCAAAU